UGAGGAGCACUAAACAGAUGAUCCUGUGGGUUGUCAGCAUUGUGAAUAUCACCGUCACCACUAGUGGAAGCCCCAUGAGCAUCCAACGAAACUUCAGCAGGUAUCCUGUCAUCCAAGUCUGCUGGAAGAUAUUCAUCAUCCAUGUAAUCUCUCUCAGUUAAAGAGGUAGAGGAAGAAUUUUCUAGGUGCUGAACCAACUUUUCAGUUAGAUACAUCUCAGCCAUAUCUUCAUC
rnacentral:misc_RNA from 1 species